rnacentral:rRNA from 1 species
GACGAACGCUGGCGGCGUGCUUAACACAUGCAAGUCGAACGGAAAGGCCCUGCUUUUGUGGGUUUCUCGAGUGGCGAACGGGUGAGUAACACGUGAGUAACCUGCCCUUCACUCUGGGAUAACCUCAGGAAAUUGGGGCUAAUACCGGAUAUGAGCUCCUGCCGCAUGGUGGGGGUUGGAAAGUUUCGGCGGUUGGGGAUGGACUCGCGGCUUAUCAGCUUGUUGGUGGGGUAGUGGCUUACCAAGGCCUUGACGGGUAGCCGGCCUGAGAGGGUGACCGGCCACACUGGGACUGAGAUACGGCCCAGACUCCUACGGGAGGCAGCAGUGGGGAAUAUUGCACAAUGGGCGGAAGCCUGAUGCAGCGACGCCGCGUGAGGGAUGACGGCCUUCGGGUUGUAAACCGCUUUCGCCAGGGACGAAGCGAGAGUGACGGUAACGGGUGAAGAAGCACCGGCUAACUACGUG